GGGACGGAGAAGGCUAUGUUGGCCGGGCGACGGUUGUCCCGGUUUAAGCGUGUAGGCUGGUUUUCCAGGCAAAUCCGGAAAAUCAAGGCUGAGGCGUGAUGACGAGGCACUACGGUGCUGAAGCAACAAAUGCCCUGCUUCCAGGAAAAGCCUCUAAGCAUCAGGUAACAUCAAAUCGUACCCCAAACCGACACAGGUGGUCAGGUAGAGAAUACCAAGGCGCUUGAGAGAACUCGGGUGAAGGAACUAGGCAAAAUGGUGCCGUAACUUCGGGAGAAGGCACGCUGAUAUGUAGGUGAAGUCCCUUGCGGAUGGAGCUGAAAUCAGUCGAAGAUACCAGCUGGCUGCAACUGUUUAUUAAAAACACAGCACUGUGCAAACACGAAAGUGGACGUAUACGGUGUGACGCCUGCCCGGUGCCGGAAGGUUAAUUGAUGGGGUCAGCGCAAGCGAAGCUCUUGAUCGAAGCCCCGGUAAACGGCGGCCGUAACUAUAACGGUCCUAAGGUAGCGAAAUUCCUUGUCGGGUAAGUUCCGACCUGCACGAAUGGCGUAAUGAUGGCCAGGCUGUCUCCACCCGAGACUCAGUGAAAUUGAACUCGCUGUGAAGAUGCAGUGUACCCGCGGCAAGACGGAAAGACCCCGUGAACCUUUACUAUAGCUUGACACUGAACAUUGAGCCUUGAUGUGUAGGAUAGGUGGGAGGCUUUGAAGUGUGGACGCCAGUCUGCAUGGAGCCGGCCUUGAAAUACCACCCUUUAAUGUUUGAUGUUCUAACGUGGACCCGUGAUCCGGGUUGCGGACAGUGUCUGGUGGGUAGUUUGACUGGGGCGGUCUCCUCCUAAAGAGUAACGGAGGAGCACGAAGGUUGGCUAAUCCUGGUCGGACAUCAGGAGGUUAGUGCAAUGGCAUAAGCCAGCUUGACUGCGAGCGUGACGGCGCGAGCAGGUGCGAAAGCAGGUCAUAGUGAUCCGGUGGUUCUGAAUGGAAGGGCCAUCGCUCAACGGAUAAAAGGUACUCCGGGGAUAACAGGCUGAUACCGCCCAAGAGUUCAUAUCGACGGCGGUGUUUGGCACCUCGAUGUCGGCUCAUCACAUCCUGGGGCUGAAGUAGGUCCCAAGGGUAUGGCUGUUCGCCAUUUAAAGUGGUACGCGAGCUGGGUUUAGAACGUCGUGAGACAGUUCGGUCCCUAUCUGCCGUGGGCGCUGGAGAACUGAGGGGGGCUGCUCCUAGUACGAGAGGACCGGAGUGGACGCAUCACUGGUGUUCGGGUUGUCAUGCCAAUGGCACUGCCCGGUAGCUAAAUGCGGAAGAGAUAAGUGCUGAAAGCAUCUAAGCACGAAACUUGCCCCGAGAUGAGUUCUCCCUGACCCUUUAAGGGUCCUGAAGGAACGUUGAAGACGACGACGUUGAUAGGCCGGGUGUGUAAGCGCAGCGAUGCGUUGAGCUAACCGGUACUAAUGAACCGUGAGGCUUAACCUUACAACGCCGAAG
rnacentral:rRNA from 1 species